UUUUAGGUAAGUUAAUAAAACUGUGGGUUUGUGGUGCCCAAAUCUCUUUACAUAGACCUAGAAU
rnacentral:tRNA from 1 species